GCUUGAAAUUGCCGGGAGGGAAGCGGAUGGAGGCCGGCGAUGCGUCUCGGUCGGAUGCGGAACGGCUCAAGCUGGUCCGCCGCUCGACUCGAGGUGCGAACCAGCACAAGCCGUUGCAUCGGCACAAGCGCGGGUGGAGUACUGCCUGUUGGUUUGCCGUUGUGGCGGUCGAGGAACGAAGCGUGCGCCCUUGGGGCGGGCCACUGUGCACCUGCACGCUCGUGGUGUUGGUUGGCGGGCUUUCCAUUCGACCCGUCUUGAAACACGGACGAAGGAGUCUAACAUGUGUGCGAGUCGGUGGGUUUGUAAACCUGUGAGGCGUAAGGAAGCUGAUGGGUGAGAACCCCUCUCCAUGGGGUGCAUUGCCGACCAAACUUGAGCUUGUGCGAAGGGUUCGAGUGCGAGCACACUUGUUGGGACCCAAAAGAUGGUGAACUAUGCCUGAGCAGGGCGAAGCCAGAGGAAACUCUAGUGGAGGCUCAUAGCGAUACUAACGUGCAAAUCGUUCGUCUGACUUGGGUAUAGGGGCGAAAGACUAAUCGAACCAUCUAGUAGCUGGUUUCCUCCGAAGUUUCCCUCAGGAUAGUUGGAGCUCACAUGCGAGUUUUAUCGGGUAAAGCAAAUGAUUAGAGGCAUCGGGGGUGUAACGCCCUCGACCUAUUCUCAAACUUUAAAUAGGUAAGACGGUGCGGCUGCUCCAUUGAGCCGUGCCACGGAAUCGAGAGCUCCAAGUGGGCCAUUUUUGGUAAGCAGAAUUGGUGAUGCGGGAUGAACCGAAAGUCAAGUUACGGUGCCAAACUGCAUGCUAACCCAGAUCCCACAAAGGGUGUUGGUUGAUUAAGACAGCAGGAUGGUGGUCAUGGAAGUCGAAAUUCGCUAAGGAGUAUGUAACAACUCACCUGCCGAAUCAACUAGCCCCGAAAAUGGAUGGUGCUGAAGCGUGCGACCUAUACUCGACCGUCGGAGCAAUUGCCAAGCUUCGAUGAGUAGGAGGAUGUGGGGGUCGUUGAGAAACCUUGGGCGCGAGCCUGGGUGGACCGGUCCCCGGUGCAGAUGUUGGUGGUAGUAGCAAAUAUUCAAAUGAGAACUUUGAAGACUGAAGUGGGGAAAGGUUCCAUGUGAACAACACUUGGACAUGGGUUAGUCGAUCCUAAGAGAUGGGGA
rfam:Picea glauca, whole genome shotgun sequence.